GAUCCUGGCUCAGGACGAACGCUGGCGGCGUGCUUAACACAUGCAAGUCGAACGAAGAGCGAUGGAAGCUUGCUUCUAUCAAUCUUAGUGGCGAACGGGUGAGUAACGCGUAAUCAACCUGCCCUUCAGAGGGGGGACAACAGUUGGAAACGACUGCUAAUACCGCAUACGAUCUGACCUCGGCAUCGAGGAUCGAUGAAAGGUGGCCUCUAUUUAUAAGCUAUCACUGAAGGG
rnacentral:rRNA from 1 species